ACGAGUACGCUCAGGCUUCAGAAGAGGCUUGCCUCCAGUGUCCUUUGCUGUGGCAAAAAGAAGGUCUGGUUGGACCCCAGUGAGACUAGUGAAAUCACCAAUGCCAACUCCCACCAGAAGAUCUGGAAGCUGAUCAAAGAUGGGCUGAUCACCAGAAGCCUGUGGCUGUCCAUUCCCGGGCUCGAUGCCGAGAAGGUAACCUGGAUGAGGAGGAUGAGAAUUCUGUGCCGGCUGCUCAGAAUGCUCGAUACCGUGCAUCUAAGAAGAUUGACCUCCACAUGUAUCACAGCCUGUACCUGAAGGGUAAUGUGUUCAAAACCAAGCAGAUUCUCAUGGAACAUAUCCACAAGCUGAAGGCAGACCAGGCUCGCAAGAAGCUUCUGGCAGACCAGGCUGAGGCCCGCAGGGCUAAGACCAAGGAAGCCCGCAAGCGCCGUGAAGAACGGCUCCGGGCCGAGAAGGAGGAAAUCAUCAAGACUGUCCAAGGAGGAAGAGACCAAGAAAUAAAGUUC
rnacentral:lncRNA from 1 species